CCGUGCUCCAUACACACGCACACACACACACAGCACCCCCUUCUCCUCCCUCCUCCCUCCACGCCGGGCCGCUCUCCAGGGGAGGAGCGAGGAAGCGUAACGUUUUCAAAGCUGAAUACCCCCCCCCUUCUCCCCCCCCAAAAAAAAAAAAAAAAAGCAACAAAAACCCACCACCACCACAAGCCCAAACGCAACACACACACGCAGCAUAGACCUCCCCCCGGACUCCGCGCUGUGCCCGGAGUAACUACCAAGUGGCCGGAACUCCGCCGGGAAGGCGGGCAGCCUCGCCGUCCCCCCGCCCCGGCAACUCCGCAGCGCCCGGAGCCGCUCCAUCCCCGGCCGAGCCCCCGCUCCGCCCUGCUCGGGAGCUGCGGUGCUCCGCGCCCCGUGGAAAGAGGAGGAGGAGGAGAAGACGGCAGCCCCGGGCCCGGCGCGAGGCCUCCCGCCCCUUCUGCCCGCCGGCCGCCGCCGUAACUCCGGCUGGCGACUUUGCUGCUGAGCUGAAACUGCUAAUUUCUGUGACCAGCUUUUUUCUUAGCUGUGAUCUGGAUGAAUGAGUAGCUGUCUCACAGAGAUGACAAAAAUAAACUCUAAUCCCCCCAAAAAUUUCCACUACAUCUUUCUCAUGCAUAGAUUUAUGAUCUUCAAGCGCCCUGUGCAAUAUGCAAACUUUUUGUGUGUGUGUAUGUGUGUGUGUGUGUGUGCUGCUGGGGGGGCAGGCUGUUGUAUUCAGGUUGCACAGGGUUUGGUUUGUGUCUCUGCUCUCCCCCCCACCCCGGAUGUGAUGGAAAUAAUGUCUGAUUUCAGAACCCGAUAUAUUGCCCCCUCCACCCCCCAGCAUUUAUGUUAUUGCUCUGAUGAGAUGUAUUUUCCUUUCUAGCAACCGGGGUGAGGCUGAAGGGGCGGAGGGAAGAGAGAAAAAGUGAGGCUCCUACAUGGUGUUAGUGGCAAAACGUUCCCUUUCCAUUUGUUCCCCUGCACUGUUCAAGAUUUAUGAUCUUGUUUGAAGGCAUAUUUUCUCUAUUGUUUUGUCUGGUUAGACAACCGUCUCUGAACUUCACUGUCAGCUCUUCAACAGAUAAGGGUUCAGAAGUCACUUUUUUUUUUCUUAUUGGAAGAUUAGCAUAUUGUCAGAUUUGUCUUUCAGUUUCGAGACUUUGCAAUGCAGAAGCCCGAAUCAAAUGGCAGGAAAGUAGCUGCUAUUUCAUGAAUGCAACCUUUCAACUUUCUGCCAGAUCUGAUACCCUGAAACAUGUGCAGCCCAUGCUUUGGGGCUUUGUUUUGGCUUUGGUUUUUGCUCCUUUGUUGCUGGAACAAGCAGAGGGAGUUCUCAUGGUAGGCACCUGGGGCUUUUUCUUUCCAAGAAGGGACAUUUUGGUAGAGGGCAUGUUCUCUGCACUUUGUCUCAUGAUGGAUGGCACCCUCACAUAUAUAGCUGUGUUCCUCUGUUGUCAAA
rnacentral:lncRNA from 1 species